rnacentral:rRNA from 1 species
UACGUAGGGGGCUAGCGUUGUCCGGAUUUAUUGGGCGUAAAGAGCGUGUAGGCGGCCAGGUAGGUCUGGUGUGAAAACUCGAGGCUUAACCUCGAGAUGUCAUCGGAAACCAUCUGGCUAGAGUCCGGAAGAGGAGAGUGGAAUUCCUGGUGUAGCGGUGAAAUGCGCAGAUAUCAGGAAGAACACCAAUGGCGAAAGCAGCUCUCUGGGACGGUACUGACGCUGAGACGCGAAGGCCAGGGGAGCAAACGGG